GGGGGAGCAAGGAGCCCGCGACCCCUCCGGCGCGCGUGCGCGGUGCGGCCCUCACGCACACCACCGCCGCCACCCCUGGCCGCCGAGGCCUCCGCGACGCCUGUCUCGGCUCCGGGAACGCGGCGGGCGGGCGGCAAAACCCGGUCUGGAAGGGGGUGGGGAUCACACGGCGUGGCUUAAAGGCCCCGCUCCGGCGUCCUCCACCAGGCUGGAGAAGCUGCCGAGUUCCCAGGCGGGGCCCCGGAGGCAAAGGCUCGGCCGAGGGCAAAGCCAUGUCUGCGGUUGCCAGGACCUGAAGAUGUAUGAGCGACCUGAACCGUCUCUGGAAAAGUCAUAUUUUCCAGGCUUUCGUGAAGUAGUCAUCGCUCCUGUUCUAAAUCUGGAGGCGGCUGCGUAUCUAUUUCAAAUUGGCUGAAGCAAGUCUCCAUAUUUUGAAGCUCAGGCCCCUUGUGUUGCAACAGGAGUGUCGUUGGUCAUAUCGGGCAUCCUCCUCCAGAGAACUGAAGAACACCCCUCCGGAGUCAGGAUGACCUGAGGGCUACACAAGGCUCAUUUUUCAUUCCCUGUGCCAUCUGGCUCCGGCAGCCACAAGACCUUUCUGGGCCUGAAUAACUUCAUCUGUGCAAUGAAGAGUUAAGCUGUGCCUCAAAGAACUAUCUCCCAAGUGCUGGGAUGGCAGGCUUCAUGCCCCACUGGCUGGUUGAAGUGAAACAUGGUCACAUCCACAUGGCAGUAGGCUCUGUCUCCACCACCAUGGCCAAGCGCCACCUCUGAGGAGCUAGGAGCACCCAAAGGACCCAGGACCACAGACUAUGACCAUGUCUGUGCUGGAGUGAGACCACUAGAAGAUAAUAACCACGUUCUUCUCAUGUAAAACCAGGGUUCUGCUCGAGCAACCCUUCUAGCAGCCCUACUUAGGAGGCAGAAGCAAGAUGCUCUUAAGUUU
rnacentral:lncRNA from 1 species